rnacentral:tRNA from 1 species
GCGGAUAUGACGAAAUAGGUAGACGUAUUAGAUUUAGAUUCUAAUGAUUUAAUCAUGAGAGUUCGAAUCUCUCUAUCCGCA